rnacentral:rRNA from 1 species
GUGCCAGCAGCCGCGGUAAUACGUAGGGGGCAAGCGUUGUCCGGAUUUAUUGGGCGUAAAGAGCGUGUAGGCGGCCAGACAGGUCCGUUGUGAAAACUAGAGGCUUAACCUCUAGACGUCGAUGGAAACCGUCUGGCUAGAGUCCGGAAGAGGAGAAUGGAAUUCCUGGUGUAGCGGUGAAAUGCGCAGAUAUCAGGAAGAACACCCGUGGCUAAGGCGGUUCUCUAGUACGGUACUGACGCUGAGACGCGAAAGCGUGGGGAGCGAACAGGAUUAGAUACCCUGGUAGUCC